UACGUAGGGUGCGAGCGUUAAUCGGAAUUACUGGGCGUAAAGCGUGCGCAGGCGGUUUUUUAAGCCAGAUGUGAAAUCCCCGGGCUUAACCUGGGAAUGGCAUUUGGGACUGCAAGGCUUGAGUGCGGCAGAGGAGACUGGAAUUCCCGGUGUAGCAGUGAAAUGCGUAGAUAUCUGGAGGAACACCGAUGGCGAAGGCAGCCUCCUGGGCUAGUACUGACGCUCAUGCACGAAAGCGUGGGGAGCAAACAGG
rnacentral:rRNA from 1 species